rnacentral:rRNA from 1 species
GAAAAAUUAGCGGAUGACUUGUGGCUGGGGGUGAAAGGCCAAUCAAACCGGGAGAUAGCUGGUUCUCCCCGAAAGCUAUUUAGGUAGCGCCUCGUGAAUUCAUCUCCGGGGGUAGAGCACUGUUUCGGCAAGGGGGUCAUCCCGACUUACCAACCCGAUGCAAACUGCGAAUACCGGAGAAUGUUAUCACGGGAGACACACGGCGGGUGCUAACGUCCGUCGUGAAGAGGGAAACAACCCAGACCGCCAGCUAAGGUCCCAAAGUCAUGGUUAAGUGGGAAACGAUGUGGGAAGGCCCAGACAGCCAGGAUGUUGGCUUAGAAGCAGCCAUCAUUUAAAGAAAGCGUAAUAGCUCACUGGUCGAGUCGGCCUGCGCGGAAGAUGUAACGGGGCUAAACCAUGCACCGAAGCUGCGGCAGCGACGCUGAUGCGUUGUUGGGUAGGGGAGCGUUCUGUAAGCCUGCGAAGGUGUGCUGUGAGGCAUGCUGGAGGUAUCAGAAGUGCGAAUGCUGACAUAAGUAACGAUAAAGCGGGUGAAAAGCCCGCUCGCCGGAAGACCAAGGGUUCCUGUCCAACGUUAAUCGGGGCAGGGUGAGUCGACCCCUAAGGCGAGGCCGAAAGGCGUAGUCGAUGGGAAACAGGUUAAUAUUCCUGUACUUGGUGUUACUGCGAAGGGGGGACGGAGAAGGCUAUGUUGGCCGGGCGACGGUUGUCCCGGUUUAAGCGUGUAGGCUGGUUUUCCAGGCAAAUCCGGAAAAUCAAGGCUGAGGCGUGAUGACGAGGCACUACGGUGCUGAAGCAACAAAUGCCCUGCUUCCAGGAAAAGCCUCUAAGCAUCAGGUAACAUCAAAUCGUACCCCAAACCGACACAGGUGGUCAGGUAGAGAAUACCAAGGCGCUUGAGAGAACUCGGGUGAAGGAACUAGGCAAAAUGGUGCCGUAACUUCGGGAGAAGGCACGCUGAUAUGUAGGUGAAGCGACUUGCUCGUGGAGCUGAAAUCAGUCGAAGAUACCAGCUGGCUGCAACUGUUUAUUAAAAACACAGCACUGUGCAAACACGAAAGUGGACGUAUACGGUGUGACGCCUGCCCGGUGCCGGAAGGUUAAUUGAUGGGGUCAGCGCAAGCGAAGCUCUUGAUCGAAGCCCCGGUAAACGGCGGCCGUAACUAUAACGGUCCUAAGGUAGCGAAAUUCCUUGUCGGGUAAGUUCCGACCUGCACGAAUGGCGUAAUGAUGGCCAGGCUGUCUCCACCCGAGACUCAGUGAAAUUGAACUCGCUGUGAAGAUGCAGUGUACCCGCGGCAAGACGGAAAGACCCCGUGAACCUUUACUAUAGCUUGACACUGAACAUUGAGCCUUGAUG